UACGUAGGUGGCAAGCGUUGUCCGGAUUUACUGGGCGUAAAGGGAGCGUAGGUGGAUAUUUAAGUGGGAUGUGAAAUACCUGAGCUUAACUUGGGUGCUGCAUUCCAAACUGGAUAUCUAGAGUGCAGGAGAGGAAAGUGGAAUUCCUAGUGUAGCGGUGAAAUGCGUAGAGAUUAGGAAGAACCCCAGUGGCGAAGGCGACUUUCUGGACUGUAACUGACACUGAGGCUCGAAAGCGUGGGGAGCAAAC
rnacentral:rRNA from 1 species